GGAGUUAGCUAGACAAUCGCUGCUUCUUUGUGUUUACAGUAAUUAUAUAGUUGCUGUAAUUGCAAAUGAAGGGGAGGAAAGUCCGGGCUCCAUAGGGCAGAGUGCCAGGUAACACCUGGGGGAUACCAAUCUACGACAAGUGCAACAGAAAGAAAACCGCCGAUAAUUAUUUUUACUACAAUAUGUUGUUAUAGAAAAUAAUAUGGGUAAGGGUGAAAAGGCGUGGUAAGAGCACACCAACCGAAUUGGUAACAGUUCGUGUUAUGUAAACUCCACUCGGAGCAAGGCUAAAUAGAAGUUCAACAGUAUGGUCCGUACUGAACUUGGGUAAGCUGCUGAAACUAACGUGUGAAUGUUAGUUUAGAUGAAUGAUUGUCCGAGACAGAACCCGGCUUAUCGGUUAACUCCUUUU
rnacentral:RNase_P_RNA from 1 species